UCUUGAUCAAAGCCGUAACAAGUUGGAGGUUGCGGUCAAUGGAGGCUGCUCUGUGUCUCUGAAAUCUAUCAUCCAAAUUCUCUGCUCUAAAAAUAAACUAGUCAUUAAGGUUUCACAGGCAUCCAUGGCAAAGGCAUUUAUCUGAAUACCAUCACCACCACCACCAAUUACUAAGAACAAUUCUACAACAGAGUUACAACGGUGAACUGAUUGAGGACAAGAUGGUGGUGCUACUGUAGAAAUUCAACAAGAUGGUUGUGGUAGAAAUUGAUAUAUGAUGUUCAAGGGGUAUUCAAAGUCAAGGAUGAGAAGAUCUGUUAAUAAGAAACCAAAAUUCUGAUGUGUUAGAAGAUUGAGUUGGAAUUUUGAAGACGCGGAAGUAGGGGUUCUGUGGGUGUUUGAAGAUUUGUGGUUUUCUUCUGUGAAGGGAUUGAAGAAACAGGUGUAGUAAUUCGAAAUUAAGGUUUCGUGGUUGGGGUUUUCUUUGGGCAAUUUUUGAGGACACAGAAGAGGGGUUCUGCUAGUGUUUGAAGAAUUGUUUUUCUUCGUGAAGUGAUUGAAGAAACAUGUUUAGACGUUUAGUGAUUUAUUUGAAUAGUUUCAACCUUGUGUUAUCUUGUUGAGGCUGCAAUUAAUCAGUGAAGAGGAUUGUCUGAUCAUGAUAAGCUUAUGUGUGAUUUGUUUUUCUUUUUGAUUGAUACUGUAAUAACCCGGUCCCGGACUGGUACCGGACCUGUGUUACCGGUACAGGUACAUGUAUAGGUACAGGUACUCAAAAUAGAGAACCAGUCAACAUGAGGUACAGGGAACAGGUUCCUAGGAAAACCGGACUGUACCGGCUCAUGUGCAGCCCUAACUAUAACGGCUGCGCAUCCAACAGUUCCAAUAGUGUUUCCAGCAAAACUUUAAAUCUAUAAGAACACUUGAUUGCUAA